GUGUCCCCCUCUGCGUCACAAUGGGAUUCGAUGAGUUCUAGCUUCUGUUGCUAGGGCUGUUGCUAGGGCUGUUGCUAGAACUUCCAAAAUUCUUGGCUUGGCUCUAUUUUACCUCGUAGAGGUCGCGAAGGAAGGAGGACGCCGGCAGUUCUAGUUUUAUUUUACCUCAGAAGCGCUCGCUCAGUCCGCGCAAAAUUAUUACCUUAGAAUUGCUCUCCAAUGACGGUGUUUUUGACGGUGACAAACUGCUGACUACCAGCUGCUUUUUACCAUACAUUUCUCUUUAUGUAAGAAAAUAUUGUUAAAUAGGAAGAAAUAAUUUAAGCUGUUUUUAUAUUGAUUUUAUUUUGACAUUGCUAGCUACAUAUUUACCUCAGCCUGCAUAGUCAGCUAGCUAGCUAGCCAGACAGUUCUAUUUAGCUAACGUUAUCUAGCUAGCUAACUGUUAUUGUAGCUGCUUUCUGUUCAUAUGUAGCUUGCACUUUAAUGRCAUCCCUCGAGGAGAUUUUMUUUUUUCUUUCCAACCAGGCAAAGUACUAUGAAGGCACCACUGAUCUCGACAAGAGGGACAACAUUCGUAGGUGGCAGAGAAAUCCGUAAUUCAGGGCAAUCACAUGUACCUACGGGGGAAGGAUGGUCAGCGACACAGGAGGRUGAUUUUCACUAAGGAGGAGAAGGAGGCCGUGCUGACAAAGAUGCAUGCUGGACAUUUCUGAGUGAAGAGCAUGAUUGCCAAAAUCAACCUACGCUUCUUCUGGAGUGGGAAUGUCAAGGAUGUGGACAGCUGGGCAAGUGAAAUAACUUUUUGUCUAUCAAUCACUUGCUAUUAUAUCUGAAAUUAUUAUGAUUUAGAUAAAUGUCACAUCCGAACGCACACUAUGUGGUUAUAGGUCAGUACCUGUCUAGCCUGCCAGAAGUUURAGAGGGUGAAGACUGUGGAGCUGGAGUUGAAGCCCAUCAGCUGUUUCACCAUGGCACAUGUUCGGGGUGGACCUCAUCGGACCCUUCACGAAAUCCAGGAAUGGCAACCGCUAGUGCCUGACAGCGACCGAUUACUUCACCAAGUGGGUGGAGGCAAGACCCAACCUCCGCCACUUUUUUUCAAUUUUCGCCGAAAAUGACAUACCCGAAUCUAACUGACUGUAGCUCAGGACCUGAAUCAAGGAUAUGCAUAUUCCUGAUACCAUUUGAUAGGAAACUUUGAGGUUUGUGGAAAUGUGAAAUUAAUGUAGGAGAAUAUAACACAUUUGAUCCG